AACGUAGGAGACAACCGUUAUCCGGAGUUACUGGGCGUAAAGGGCGUGUAGGCGGUUUGUUAAGUCUGGCGUGAAAGCUCUCGGCUAAACCGGGAGAGGUCGUUGGAUACUGGCAAACUAGAGGACGGUAGAGGCGUGUGGAAUUCCGGGUGUAGUGGUGAAAUGCGUAGAGAUCCGGAGGAACACCAGUGGCGAAGGCGACACGCUGGGCCGUACCUGACGCUAAAGCGCGACAGCAUGGGGAGCAAACGGG
rnacentral:rRNA from 1 species